UCCGCGCGCUUCAGAAGGUAUAAAUAUAGAUGCCCGGGGAGUUGCUCGGUCUUUUCGAGAGUUGCGGCUUUGCGCUUUGGGCACCUGGGAUCGCUCAGGAUUCCAAAUAAAUUGAUUCGAGGAGAGAAGAGGAGCUUCACCUAACAUUGGCUGUUAACACUUAACCUUUUGGGUCCUUUAUUUGGCAGGGAGGGUUGGUAAAAUGAAUGAUAAAUGCUAUUUUGGUAAAUGCUGAUAAGCCUGGAAGUUUGGAAGCUUGGGCAUAUUUGACCCAUUUUUUCAAACUCGUUAAUACUAAAUUUGGGGAACAAGUGGAGUAUUUUCUAUAGGACAGGUGCCCAGUAAAAUUUGACUAAUGCAGACGGGACUAAAUAUGGCCAUGUCUAUUAAAACAGUCUGGUCCUUUGACCCACAAAGCCCAAAGAUUCCAGAAUGCCUAUGAAGAGGAAACUUGUCCUAAGGAAAUUAAGAUACUACUUGGCCUUUUCUGCUAUUCUCGAGUAAACUGGGUUUUAUGCCUACAUAACUGAAUGGAGAACAGAAGCCUAUGAGAUCCUAAGUAUGUCUUAAAGACGCAGGUCUGUUUAUAAUGUAUUUAUGAAUUACAAUAAAGAUGACUACAUA